CCCUUGGAGUAUCAUACAAAUCUUAGUACCUGAAAAGGGAAAAGAGAUACGAUGAAUAGGGAA
rnacentral:ncRNA from 12 species